rnacentral:rRNA from 1 species
AGAGUUUGAUCCUGGCUCAGGACGAACGCUGGCGGCGUGCUUAACACAUGCAAGUCGAACGAGAUCCAUCGAGUGGCAACACUCGGGAAGAUCGAGUGGCGAACGGGUGCGUAACACGUGAGGAACCCACCCCGAACUCUGGGAUAACAGGCGGAAACGCUUGCUAAUACCGGAUGCCUUCGCCGAGUCGCAUGGCUUGGCGAAGAAAGGUCCGCCGGUUCGGGACGGUCUCGCGGCCUAUCAGCUUGUUGGUGGGGUAACGGCCUACCAAGGCAUCGACGGGUAGCUGGUCUGAGAGGAUGAUCAGCCACACUGGGACUGAGACACGGCCCAGACUCCUACGGGAGGCAGCAGUGGGGAAUCUUGCCCAAUGGGCGCAAGCCUGAGGCAGCAACGCCGCGUGCGGGAAGAAGGCCCUCGGGUUGUAAACCGCUUUCAGCAGGAACGAAAAUGACGGUACCUGCAGAAGAAGGUGCGGCCAACUACGUGCCAGCAGCCGCGGUGACACGUAGGCACCAAGCGUUGUCCGGAUUUAUUGGGCGUAAAGAGCUCGUAGGCGGUUCGGUAAGUCGGGUGUGAAAACCUUGGGCUCAACCCAAGGACUGCACUCGAUACUGCUGUGACUUGAGUCCGGUAGGGGAGUGGGGAAUUCCUGGUGUAGCGGUGGAAUGCGCAGAUAUCAGGAGGAACACCGGUGGCGAAGGCGCCACUCUGGGCCGGUACUGACGCUGAGGAGCGAAAGCGUGGGGAGCGAACAGGAUUAGAUACCCUGGUAGUCCACGCCGUAAACGUUGGGCACU